rnacentral:lncRNA from 1 species
UCCAAGACCCACGCGCCGCCAGCGCCCGCCUCUGCGCCGCGGACCCGAGGGAGGGGCAGGAGCGCGGGCGGGGGUCCCGGGCGGCAGCGCAGUCCCCGGGGUGGGCGCGCACCCCGACAGCCCGCAGCUGUUCGCCUUUCUUCGCUGCACAUCACCGCCACGAGCCCACACUCUGCUCCGGGAAAACCCUCUACUACCUCCAGGAAAGCACGGAAGGCAAAUCCUCUGUUCACCUGGGGUCUGUAGAUCCGUGGGGCCCACAUGGGGUAGGGUGGACACCCGCAGGGAAGAAGAGUUCCCGGGGAGAAGAGCGGAGCAGCAGAUGCCAGCUGCGGUGGCCGUAACUCCACUCCAGAGCCCCUGCCGCCUCCGCGCUCUACCCGCGUCAGGGCCAUGCCGCCUCUUUAUACCCGGCGGAGCCCGGGGAGGGGGGGGGGAGGCCGAACGGCUUCCUGGGAGUUGUAGUUCUGCCUUCCUAGAACCAAAGAGCGCUGAGCGAGGAUUGAUGUCUGGGGUUUAUGAACAACAGCGUCAUCGCUUCCCGCGAUGGGAUUCCAGUCCCACCAUCAACUCUGUUAGGUCUCAUGUGGCCUUUGUGCAGCGGGAAGGUCACACCAACCCCCUACCUGCAGCCCAGGACGACACACCCGGGUGUUACCUUCGAGGAGGAGUAGCCUGCCGUGUGUCUGGAUUCUUCACACGGAGAGGGCAGGUACUUUGUCCUUCAUUCCACGUCUGCCACCAAACGCCUGCAGACGCUGGAGCUGUGGCCGGUGUCCUCCCUGCAGCAGCAUAGGGUCAAGUGAGAGCGGAGGCUGGGCCUAGGGUGCUAACCUUGUGAGGGGGGUACUAACCCUCCCCCAAGGGAUACUAAUCCUGCCCAGGGAUAAUAACCCUCCCCUAAGAGUACUAACCUUCCACCAGGGGCUCUAAGCCUAGUUGGCAACAUCAGCUAGGACCUUCCAGAGGAAGGAGGCAGGCAAACAAAGACCCACAAUAGGAGGGCAGUGCUGUGGGUGUGAGGGAAACUUACGGGUAUACAAAGUGUGAUCAGAAUAUUCAGUGAAUGUUUGCAUGUUUAAAAAUUUAUUACAGUGAGACAUAUUGCCAUUAAUCUCCCUCAAAUACUCUCCCUGACAUUGAACACACUUGUGUCAUUAUUCUUGCCACUUUCUGAAGCAGUUCUGGAAGCUCUCUUUCCUGAGUAUUUUUACAAAGUGUGACCAAAAAUGGUAAGUGCUGCUCUAAAGUGCCAUCCAAUGGAAAGGCAAGCUUGUAAAAACAUUACAGUGUGGUGUGCCCUCAUCCACCGUAUUCACCAGAUCUGUUAAUAUGCCACUUCUGACUUUUCCCUAAAGUCAAAAUGACCAUGAAAGGGGACCCAGGCGUGGUGGCCCAUGCCUGUAAUCAUAGCACUGGGAAGGCUGAGGUAGAAGAAUUACUGCAAGUUCAAGGCCAGCC